rnacentral:tRNA from 1 species
GACCCUAUAGCUCAGUUGGUAGAGCAUCUUAGAUAUUAUGGGAAAGUCCUAGGUUCAAGUCCUAGUGUGGUCA